AGAAAAAUGUAAGAGUGAGAAAAUAUGACUAACAGGAACAGGAUGAUAGCUUAGAUAGCCGUACAGAAAGAAAACCAACAACCGAAUUAAAUACCCAUUUCUAGGAGGAUGUCGGGAAAAAAUAAUAAUGGACUAAUCCGAACCCAGAAAGC